UUCAGAGAGACAUAAAAAUGGCUACGUACUGGAUGGACUUGGGUCAGAGCAGUUACUAACUCUUGAAUAUUAUUAAUGAUGUAAUAAGCCCAGUACCACCCUGGCCGGGGCUCCCCAAACACUACACCGCAGCACAAAAAUUACCGUGAGACAUCAGUCAGAAAUAAAUUGAAUAUACUUAUAAAUAAUCCAUGUCGGCAAGUGCAUCACCGCCCCAACCUCCUUCCCCAAUCUUCCCACCACUUUACAGCAUGCCUCCAGAGUGCUGCGACGCUAGCCACCGCGCAAGGCCGGUGAUCUAUCCAUACCAUGUUGGAUGCUCUAUCAAGCAACUUGGUGCUGUGGUGUUGUGUAUAUAUUCCAUCAGCAAAUGAACUCCACGGAAAAUUAGAGACAGCCAACAUAUCUCAAGGCAUAAAAGCAGGAUGAAGGCAUAAAAGCAGGAUGAAGCAGCAGGAUGAAGCAACUUUACCGACUAACAGAACGAAGUAGUGUUACCUCGGUUGGUCAACGACGACAUGUUGCCUUGCUUUCACUGCGUGAGCUCGUGUGGGGAAGGGCAGGCAGUGAUGGCAAUAUUUAAUUGUAGCGCUGAGGCCUGCUGGAAACGUUUUGGAUGGGAAGGAAUAGAUGCUCGCCACUUUUUUGAAGGUCAGUCCAACCAGGGUUUCAAGCAUGCAUUCUGGAGCAUACAAAAUUUUCCGGUAUUUCAGGCUGGGACACAAGUGCGAGUGGGAACGUUUCUUUUUAAUUUCAUGUUUGUUUCUUUCUAUUGGUUGAUUUUGUAUUAGAUCUCUAUGCAAAGCAAGGUAAUAAAUAGCAUAUAGCGGCUGGUAGCUGAUUGAUGUC